rnacentral:rRNA from 1 species
AACACUCCGAAAGGGGUGCUAAUACCGGAUACGAAGUCUGUGCCGCAUGGUACGGAUUUGAAAGAUGGCCUCUAUUUAUAAGCUAUCGCCGGGGGAUGGGCCUGCGUCCGAUUAGCUGGUUGGUGGGGUAACGGCCUACCAAGGCGACGAUCGGUAGCCGGUCUGAGAGGAUGAACGGCCACAUUGGGACUGAGACACGGCCCAGACUCCUACGGGAGGCAGCAGUGGGGAAUCUUCCGCAAUGGGCGCAAGCCUGACGGAGCAACGCCGCGUGAAGUGAGGAAGUUCUUCGGAACGUAAAGCUCUGUUGUUCCUGACGAACCUCCCUUCUAUGAACAACGGAGGGGACUGACGGUAGGGAACGAGGAAGCCACGGCUAACUACGUGCCAGCCGCUGC